rnacentral:rRNA from 1 species
UGGGGAAUUUUGGACAAUGGGCGAAAGCCUGAUCCAGCAAUGCCGCGUGUGUGAAGAAGGCCUUCGGGUUGUAAAGCACUUUUGUCCGGAAAGAAAUCCUUGGCUCUAAUACAGUCGGGGGAUGACGGUACCGGAAGAAUAAGCACCGGCUAACUACGUGCCAGCAGCCGCGGUAAUACGUAGGGUGCAAGCGUUAAUCGGAAUUACUGGGCGUAAAGCGUGCGCAGGCGGUUUGCUAAGACCGAUGUGAAAUCCCCGGGCUCAACCUGGGAACUGCAUUGGUGACUGGCAGGCUAGAGUAUGGCAGAGGGGGGUAGAAUUCCACGUGUAGCAGUGAAAUGCGUAGAGAUGUGGAGGAAUACCGAUGGCGAAGGCAGCCCCCUGGGCCAAUACUGACGCUCAUGCACGAAAGCGUGGGGAGCAAACAGGAUUAGAUACCCUGGUAGUCCACGCCCUAAACGAUGUCAACUAGUUGUUGGGGAUUCAUUUCCUAGUACGUAGCUAACGCGUGAAGUUGACCGCCUGGGGAGUACGGUCGCAAGAUUAAAA